rnacentral:rRNA from 1 species
CCCUUAGAUGUUCUGGGCCGCACGCGUGCUACACUGAGUAAUUCAAUGGGUAAGGGAACGCUAGAGCAUUACCUAAUCUUGAAAUUUGCUCGUGAUGGGGAUCGACGGUUGCAAUUUUCCGUCGUGAACGAGGAAUACCUUGUAGGCGCAUGUCAUCAUCAUGCGCCGAAUACGUCCCUGCCCUUUGUACACACCGCCCGUCGCUCCUACCGAUUGAGUGUUCCGGUGAGGCUCUGGGACCUGGACGGAAAGAGCGUUUCGCUUGUUCUGUUUGGGAAACUUGGUCGAACCUUAUCAUUUAGAGGAAGGAGAAGUCGUAACA